CGUAGUUUAGUAGUUGAAACAUUGGUGUGUAAAGCCAAAGGUCCCGGGUUCUAUUCUCGGCG
rfam:Agrilus planipennis Contig58801, whole genome shotgun sequence.